GCAUUAAUGGGGUAGUGGUAACCUGGGUCGUUGCCAUGAUUUGUCGGGUUAGUUUCGACCCGCCGGGGGUUCGAUUCCCCCUUAAUGCA
rnacentral:tRNA from 1 species